GCGGGGCGCAGAGGGGCUGCGGUCUGCGCCGGCAGCCGCCGUGGCACCGAGCCCGGCGGCUUUCCCUGCGCGGUCCAUGGGGUAUGCACAUGGCUCGAGUGCCGUAACAAGAGUGUAGCUUUGGCAGUGUAAGUUAGCCCCUUUUGGAAGUAACUUGUGUUUGGAAAACAUGCUCUAUGCAUGCUGGGGUGCGGGCAGCUCAGGCUGGUCUUGUUUCGUUUGUAUUACAUUAUUUGCGAGCUCAGGAUAGACAAAAGGCCUCCCCAGUGCUGCCAGUAGGCUAGGAAGAAGUCUACUAGCUCCAUACUUUUAUUAUCAUUGGGCUGUUGUCAUAAAAAUACCCCAAACAACUCAAAAACCCAUCCAAAAGCAAAACAAGAAAAUGCUACUCCUUUCAAUGCCCCCGGAUUGCUGUCAUCUGCAAGCAGUCCUCAAUGCAUUCAGUGCUUGUGCAUGAAGAUUGCUUAGCCGUGCUGGCAGACAGAAGAGACAAUCUAAAAUCUGAAGGAUUUGUCCAAAUUCCGUGGAAUAAAUUGUAUCCAGAAAACUUUCCAGGACCUGUGAGAUAGA